rnacentral:rRNA from 1 species
AUUGAACGCUGGCGGCAUGCCUUACACAUGCAAGUCGAACGGUAACAGGUUAAGCUGACGAGUGGCGAACGGGUGAGUAAUAUAUCGGAACGUGCCCAGUCGUGGGGGAUAACGUAGCGAAAGCUACGCUAAUACCGCAUACGAUCUACGGAUGAAAGCGGGGGAUCGCAAGACCUCGCGCGAUUGGAGCGGCCGAUAUCAGAUUAGGUUGUUGGUGAGGUAAAAGCUCACCAAGCCUGCGAUCUGUAGCUGGUCUGAGAGGACGACCAGCCAAACUGGAACUGAGACACGGUCCAGACUCCUACGGGAGGCAGAAGUGGGGAAUUUUGGACAAUGGACGCAAGUCUGAUCCAGCAAUGCCGCGUGCAGGACGAAGGCCUUCGGGUUGUAAACUGCUUUUGUACGGAACGAAACGGUGAGCUCUAAUAUAGUUUGCUAAUGACGGUACCGUAAGAAUAAGCACCGGCUAACUACGUGCCAGCCGCCGCCGUAA